UGGCUUAAACACAGAUCCACUACACUGAUAACUGCUGUCAUACGUGGACACAUCACACAUGUCGAUGCUCCCCAAAGUGUUUGGUUUCGAUACUGUGGUUACUUGGUACACACUACAAGGUAGCACCUCAGAACAAGCCGAACAAGGGCAACAUUUACAACAAUGCCAAAGUGUCUGCAAUAAAGUUAUUCUAUAAUACUUAUCAUUUCCAUUAGUGGAACUCUUCAAAUUAAAGGCGCGUAAAGUCGUGCUACCGGCACAACAUACGUAAACAUUACUUAGGUAUACAUAAUAUUGUAACGUGUUUAGGUUCGAUGAUUCGGACCAGUCGGGGGAAAGUAUGAUUAUUGAUGAAUGAAUAUGUAUUUAAAACAAAUGAACAACCAAGAUAACGAACGAGUCAAUAUAUACAAAUAGUUUCCAGGAUUACCUAUCCUAAUCACACAUAGCAUUGAAACCUAUAAGUUAUGGGUAAACAAGGCUGGGACCUAUGCUAGUCUGUAUCCACUACCGGACAGAUACUUGUGUAGUAUGUACGUCCUACUACAACCGGACAAAAGGCAAUAACAGAGGAAAUACUUUAUUACUAUCCUCUAGACCAGUUUACUCGCCACCGUAUACUGAAUUACAUUAAUACACACCGUAUUAAAUGUUGUCCACCUUCUCUUCUGUCGACCUCCGAAAAAUGAACUGCGAUCUAUUGCCAGAACGCCCGUAUUUAUACUACUGAGCACCCGAACUACCCUCGGAUGCUAUCGUAAUGCCCUACGAUAAAGCCCGGUUGACGUAAGCGUUAUAUUUAGCCUCCAACAGGUUAUGAUACAUCCCGAACCCGAUCUCAAUUUGUCACAAUAUGAAUUAUGGUAUCGGAUACAUAUUAUAUAUAACCAACUGCAAACCACAACACUGAUUAAAAUUCUAAAGUUAAAUUUAGGAAUUGAUUAUUCUUACAAGAAAACAGACGAACUUAUCAAACUAUGUGAGGGGGUGCAGGUACUAAAUCUGCCAAAUCUGACCGAUAUAAAGCAUCAAUCGCAAAAAGAACUGUGAAGGGAAAAACCUAUAUGCACAUCCAACACAAAAAGUUUUAAUGUGAGUAAUAUGUUUUUAAAGUUAUUCUGUCAGACUAUGAAGACAUUCUAUUUUAUCAUACAAUUAGGACAGGUUCAUAUGGCAUGGACUUGGUAAUCGUACACGAACACCCCCCCCCCCCCCAUUUCCAUAUUUUAGAACAAGUUAUAUAUAUAUAUAUAUGCCAAACUGAAUUUUUUAAAGACGUUUAUAACACUAAUUAACACAACUAAUGCGUUUCCAAACUGCAUUUAAGCUAUUUUGAAAAUUACAAAAUAUUGAUGGAUUUAGGACAGAGAACAUCAUUGUUUGGAAUUUUUAAAAUAGGUGCGGUGGAGUUUAAAAACAUGUAACAUUUUUAAUAAGAUUGUGUUAGAAUAUUUGAAAAAUGCAGUUUGACCAAUGGUUAUUUUAUUUAAAAAUACACCAUGUAUUUUAACUCUUAAAAAAGGGGGGUGUGUGUGCUAUGACCGUUUCGUUUAUGUCCCAGUAAUCUCGCACUUGCUCGCGAGACUUGUGCAUUUUCUUACCAAUGACGCACAAGAGUCAUCAAAGCGCGAUAACUCAACGAGCUGGUAAUGAGAAGUUCUGGUUAAAGCGUGUUCAUAUCAAUACGUCCUUCUCGCUGGACAGCUCAGUUCCUACUGGACUUUUGCGAGAAGGGCUGACUUUUACAAUUUACGGCUGAAUUUGACAUAAGCUUAAUAUACGAAAACCUUUUCGUGACAUUUUUGUACAUACAUGAAUAAGCGAUGAACCGAGGCAAUGUACAGAAAUGUUAGUUGUAUCGAGUUGUUCCGGUUCCUUUCCAUACUCGUACUAUUUCUCACACGCAUUUGAGAAGCAGUAGAUGAUAUUUGACGGUUGAUUAUAGCCGAUAAAUGGACUUUAUUUCCAGUUCACCAUGACAAUGCGAGAGGUAGGACCUUGACAUAGUUGCCUCUAAACGGUAGGGGUCUAAUUAUCAUAUUAAAUCGAAAUUUUCGAGCGAUGCAGGCGGUAAAACAGAAAACCAAGAUGGCGGCGUGAUAUACCUUGUGAAUAUCAUGUUUACAGGAAAACAAUUUUUUUAAAUUAUAGAUAUUUAAUUAAAACGUCGAGUGUCAGUGUGUGUGCUAUCUCUGUUACAGUAAAGUCUAUGUGACCUAAUAUCCCCAUAUAUCCCUCCUGCAACCCCGCUCCCACGGGGAUCCGGGUUAGAAUAGGUCCUCAGUACCCCUUGCUUGUCGUAGAAGGCGAUUAAAUAGGGUGGUCCUUUGGAUGAGACCGCAAAAACCCGAGGCCCCAUGUCGCAGCAGGUGUGGCACGAGAAAUAUCCAUCCCGGCUCAAAGGCAAUAAGCGCCGAGCAUAGGCCUAAAUUUCACAGGUCUUCACCGGCAAUGGUCACCAUUUUCUCUCGAGCGACGUUAAACAAUAUUCAAUCAAUCAAUCAAUCCUGCAUCCCCGGAUUUUACCUGUGUCGUGAUCAAUGAUAAGCCGCCGGUCAAUCAAACUUUUAACAAUAGAGCUUAAGUUGACUGACGUUUGCAGAGACCGUGGUCUACUGCUACCCGAGAAAGAUGUUUUGAUAACAUUCACAGCUAAUGAUGACCUGCAGUCUUUAGAUCUCGAGGAAAGCCCCGGUAUACCUGAGUUUUGAUAGCAUUGACUCGCACCUAGGAUGGAACAAAUAUUGAUCAAUGUUAAAGCAUCUUCCCUACAACCUCACAUUUGUAAUAAAGAUCUAGGUCUCUACCGAAAUUGUAAAUUGAAAAUGAUCUCCGGGGUAAACGUACUGACUCGCAAAGUAACAUCUUGGAAUAUGAUUGUGAACUUACGUGGAUUUUCAUCCUAAUCUUGUGGUCUCCUAGCUCCAAAAUUCAGUACACUAUUAGGCGAAAUCUUUAACGAAGUGCAAUGUUUAUGAAAGGCAGGCUAAGAUAAUGUGUGAUGUCAUGUCUACGUUUCGACGUACGUCAUAAUAAGACGGACAGUGGCGGAUCUAAAGUCUCAAUAUACCUGGCGAAUUGCCAAUACGAAGCUAAAGUGACCAGGGUUAAAAUGUAAAUAUGUUAAAAGAGUAUUUUAUAGAAUUUAAAUAGUUUCAUUGUUAUUGAUAUCUGUAUUAAUAUAGGGAGGUGACCAUUCUACAUUGAUCCAGUGCCUUUUUAUGGGAUUCGAAACUGUGACUGUGAGAUGUAUGAGAGUUUGACUUCUAGGCGGGCAAUUCUACUUUCACUUUAAACGGAUGACAGGUGCCUGAGUGUAUCUCGACCCAUUUCCAGGCUAGCAUCAGAUGUCAUGAUGGACCUUUAAAAUCUUUCACAUGUGUACUUUCAAGAACCAUAUACAUUAUUUUUGAAAAUUGGUUGCCAUGGUAAUAAAAUCUGAAAAUUAAAACAUGGGCUUCUGAA